CUAAUGAAUGAGUAGAAGUUUUUCAACGGCCGAGUGGAAUUGCGGCGAAACAAAAUCGAGCGAAAUAGAAAGUGGCAAAAAAACGUGCAGAAUCCAACUACCAAACGUCACAUUCAUUCAUUUGGUGUGCGAUCGCUUGCGGCAGACAUCCCCUAGUUUCCAUUACGUACGUCGGAUCGAAUAAUACCGCUCGAAAAUGACUGCCUGGAGAGCCGCUGGUUUGAACUACAUCAACUACUCCAACAUUGCUGCCCGUCUGGUCCGCAAGGCUCUGAAGCCGGAACAGCGAGCUCAAGCCGUUCGGCGAGACGAGUCCCACAUCAAGUUCACCAAAUGGGUCAACGGAAAGCCAGAAAAUGAAAAGUAAACUGCCACCCCUAAUUUUAUCUCUCUUGGGGAUAUAUGGUUAACAAGUAGGGAUUAGGCUGGUGAAGUUGUUUAGAUUCGGAAUUAGGUCGUCUGUAUCUGAUUCGGUUCAAUGUUAAUAAAAAGUCAAGAUUCUACGAUGAAGAAAAGGUAAA